UUCCUGUUUUUAAAACUUUUAAUUUUUUGGUUUUACUUUUUAAACAUUUUUCAUUAAAACCUAAGGGACACACACCUUAGCCUAGGCCUACGCAGGGUCAGGACCAUGCACGUCACUGUCUUCCCCCUCCCUCUCUGUCCCACUGGAAGGUCUUCAGGGGCAAUGACAGGCAUGGAGCCAUCAUCUCCUGGGAUGAUGCUGGCUUCUUCAGGACACCUCCUGAAGGACCUGCCUGCAGCUGUUUAUAGUUAACUUUUAAAAAUACAAGUAGAGGAAGUACACAAAACAAUACAAAGUAUAGUACAGUAAAUGCAUUAGCUAGUAACAGCCAUUUAUAAUCAUGUACGCUACCUAAUUGUAUGUGCUAGACUUUUACAUGCCUGGAAGUGCAGUAGACUCAUUGACACCAGCGUCGCCACAAACACAUAAGGAGUGUGUCACACUGCAACGUGACCACGGGUCUGCGGCCAGGCUACAGGAGACUCUCAGCUCUGUUAUAAUCUUAUGGGAGCAAAACCAUAUAUAUGGUCCACUGUUGACCAAAACGUUGUCAUGCAUGCAUGAUCAUAUUUAUCGGUCUGCAAAAGUUAAAAAUGAUGACUUGGAAACACUGGUAAUGGGGCAUUUUGCUUCAGCAACAUUUUCCCUGUUUGGGUGUCGGUGGCUCAGCCAGUGUUGAAGAAAUCUGCAGUGAAGAAGAGGGUAGGUCGAAUCUGCUGCAGAGGAGGUUGCAUCCUGUGGGCCACAGCUGCCUGGUGAUAUCAUUUUCACCAGCUGCUGCCUCCGCUGACAGAGAGCUGGGCAGGGGGAUGGGGGAGCUGGUGACCCACCCAGAUGCUCUCUCUUGCUGGGGUGCUCAGUCCCCGGGGCCAGGAGUGUCCUAAUGACCGUGCGCUUGUCCACUUCCAGUGGAAUUAUGAAAUCUGCUGGGCUGACAGGUGCUGCUGGGACUGGGGGGUGUGGGUCGAGCACCCCUGCACACACAUCCAGGGACUGGUUGGUGCAGACACACACUGGCUUGACUGUACACACCCCUUGACUGCACAAGGGCUGAUUUUGUGGCGUUGUUCCUGCUCUAGACUGAAGCAGGGUUCUCAAAGCAAACCCGGCCAGUAGCACCGUCCCUCCUGGGAAGUUGUUGGAGACGCAAAUUCUCCAGCCUCAUCCCUGACCUAUAGAUUUAGAGCUCUGGGGUAUGGCCCAGCAGCAUGUGUUUAACGAGCCCUGCAGGAGGUUCUGAUGCAGCUCAAAUUGGGGCACACAGCUCUGAGUGUCCCUUGGUGUCUGGAGGGCUCUGGUCUGCAGCACAGACACCUCCUGGCUUAGCUUUGCCUCCACCCCGGCUUCUCUCCUUGCUCCCCUGAGAGCACCAGCUCCGGCCAUCUCUUGGACAAGCACCUCGCCCCGGGAGUCUGCGUCUGGGAACCAAGCGGGCUUUCUGCACACCGCCUCAGGGGCAGCUGCUGGCCACACACGGCCAUCGGGUGCUCAAAGUGCACUGACUCAGACUGAAAAUCUACACGCAGGUGUUGGAGACUUAGUGCAAGAACAGAACGUGGAGUUCCACAGAGUAGUUUACUCUUCAUUGUGUGCUGAAAUCAUCACAUCUUGGACAUACUAAAAUAAUAUGAACAUUUCUUUCCCUUGUUUUGUUUGCUUUUGUUUUUGUUUUGAGGCAAGGUCUUGCUGGGUCACCCAGGCUGGAGCACAGUGGUGUGAUCUUGGCUCGCUGCAGCCUCGACCUCCCAGGCUCAAGCCAUCCUCCCACCUCAGUGUUCUGAGUAGCUGGGACCACAGGCAUGCACCACCAUGCUCUGCUAAUUUUUGUAUUUUUUUUUUUUUUUUGUAGAGAUGGGGUCUCGCUAUGUUGUCCAGGCUGGUUUCCAACUCCUGGCCUCAAGUGAUCCUCCUGCCUUGGCCUCUCAAAGUGCUAGGAUUAUAGGUAUGAGCCACCAUGCCCAUUCCGUUCCGUUUUUCUUGUGACUUUAGAAAAUUUAAAAAUACACAUGAGGCUCAUGCUCUGUGUCUUUUGACCAAUGCCAGCUGAGAGGUACUAAGGUACUAAGAGCAGUGGCAGCUCAGCAGUGAAGGAAGUGGCUGUGCCAGGUCUGCUGUCCAAAGAUGGCAAGCUGGCAGAGAUUCAAAUCCAAACCAAAAAAAGCCCAGAUGGCCUUUCCUGAGCACGGGGCCCCAGGUGAGAAGGCAGAUUCUGAAGCGGGGCUUCCCACUCAUCUUGCUGAGCCUGCCUUUCCCGGUCUUUUGGUGCUGGCUGUGGUGCUGUGAGAGAUGAUGAAGUUUGUAAGUCAGGGCAGUUUUUAAACCCACAGACAAGAAGCACAUCUGCAAAAUGCAGCCUGGGAGCUGUCUACUCUGCCCGGAACAGUGGGGAUCUCUGCAGGAGGAAAUCGCAUAGUUUCCCACGGGUGAAUUGUCAUGAUGCUGUUGUGGCUGUUGGCAGGAAGCUUCCUCACAUUUUCAGUUUAAAUGCAUUCCUCCUGAUCUUUCCAAAAGACGGAGGCAGAACAGCUGGUUGCCAUACUCCGCAUAAAGUCCUUUGGGUAAAUUGAAGGCAUUUAGUGCUAUAAAUUUCCCUCUACACACAGAAAUACAAACUACCAUCAGAGAAUACUACAAACACCUCUACGCAAAUAAACUAGAAAAUCUAGAAGAAAUGGAUACAUUCCUCGACACAUACACUCUCCCAAGACUAAACCAGGAAGAAGUUGAAUCUCUGAAUCGACCAAUAACAGGCUCUGAAAUUGUGGCAAUAAUCAAUAGUUUACCAACCAAAAAGAGUCCAGGACCAGAUGGAUUCACAGCCGAAUUCUACCAGAGGUACAAGGAGGAACUGGUACCAUUCCUUCUGAAACUAUUCCAAUCAAUAGAAAAAGAGGGAAUCCUCCCUAACUCAUUUUAUGAGGCCAGCAUCAUUCUGAUACCAAAGCCGGGCAGAGACACAACCAAAAAAGAGAAUUUUAGACCAAUAUCCUUGA
rnacentral:lncRNA from 1 species